UGCUGUGUGUCUUCAUUUUGAGCCUGCGCUGGUUUUUUGAGGGUCAUUUUAGGUUUGUUUUGAUAUUUAUUCACUGUUCCUUCCACCUUAAAAGGGGAACAAAACAGCCAAGUGGGUAAUUUGCAGUCCUGUGUGUGAGUAUUCUUAGUCACUAUUUGGCGGACCAGACCUGGCACUGUACAACGUAUGCUAUUAGCUGCCAUUACUGAGUGGCGUUUUUGUACCCAGUGCCUAGAUCAGGCUUCCUGAAUCCAUUCACACAACAGAAGUCCCUCCAGCCCUGCAAUGCGUAGGACUGUAAUGACCUUCCCAGAGAAUGGACGAUGACAUGACUGCAAGAAACCACCAUUAAGGGCCCGUGACUGACUGUCUUCAGUCUGGUAUUAUGAAUGGGAUGGAAUACCCAUCAACCACCGCUGUACAGUACGCGCCCAAUCGCGUGGGCCAGGGGCGGGCCAGGGUCGGCCACAUCUGCCUAAAUAGCAUCCUGGCUCACCCGUUUACCUUGGCUGAACCACCACACCCAGGUGUCUUGGCAGUUCUGGCCCACCUAGCUCUAUGCAGGCCGAAUUAUACGAGCUACGUUGCAGAUGUGACCUGGUUUGAUCCUGCUAUUUCCUGCAAAGAAGCAAUGUUUUACGCUGCAUGAGAAUUACUUUCCAUGCAAGAAAAAUGUUUAACUUUAAAUUGCUUGCAUUGUUCUUGCACCUUCUAUUGCAUUUAGGGGAAAGUAUAAUUCAUUUGGUUUUACAAUCUUUUUAAAAUGUUAAUUUCACUAAAUCCAGAGGUCACCCAAAAAGCACAAAUGAAACUAUUGUCUUUAAACUGAGUGCUGACCUGUCACAAGCCUCUGCAGCUUUACUACCACUGAAUGGUCCCAGAGAAAGACAUGGAAAAGGCACGCCACGAAUGGUUCAGCUGGAAUGCUUCUGUUAUUUUUUCCGCAGAGUGCUAUCUGUCACAAGGUUUUUCAGGGGUGGAGACAGAGCUAGGGGGUAGGGCGGUGGAGGAGUCCGUUAUCCCCCCCCCUCCCCCCUCAGGGACUCUUUACGCCCUUCCUGAUCUCACGCCAUGGUUGUACAGCACAAACCUCCUCCUAACCCCCCCACCCCCCUCAGUGGGUAAAGAGUAAUUAUACCUGUCUCCUGCAACCUCUACCUGUGUCCAUUUGGGCCCAAGAGUCAUUAAAAAGUUCUACUGCCCCUGAUAAGAAAUACAGCUCCUGUUUAGGCCCACAUUUGUGUUGUUUUUGGUCUAAAGCAAAAAACAAGGCUUUCUAAAGAGGGAAUAUCAGUACCUUAAUCAAAAUGUCUCUAUAGCACCUAUCAUAACCGACCUUUGAACCAUGAGAAAACCUUGUGAACAUUCAGAGGUAGGCAGUCCAACGCUCUCUUUGUGCUUGUGACAGCGUUUUGUGGUAUGUUGUUCAAACUUGUGUUUGUGUCCGACUAGUUCCACUUUUCCAGCAAAUAAGAUUCAUUGGUUUAUCUGCAGUUAACAUUUGUCUACAUACAGCAUUUUGGUAUGGAAAAAAAAAUUCUCUUUGAGUAAAGACCCUGCCUCAUCUUGAGUGAUUACAUGAUCUCUGACAGUAUUAAACAAUAUCAUUGUUUAAUCAGUGGCAUUAUGGUUUUGUUUGUUUUUUUUACUUACAUAGUUUGAUCCCUAUGUCGUACGUUCUAACACUCUGAGUCUGGUAAAAUGUCUAGGACUAAUUUGCGGUUGAUGUACAGAAAGCAUGCAGUUGUGAUGGGUCCUGCAGCUGUUGGUCGGUGUAGGUAGGCUGACGGUCUGAUCGCAGAGGCGCCUAGCAACAAAGCUGGGGCUUGACACAUGAGUGGCCCCGGCGGUCCGGGGGCUGGAAUUCCCCAGCGCGGGCCGUAGAUCACGGGCCCAGCGGCUCUGGGAGGAUGAUUGGCCGGGUGCACUUGUGACCCGGGUGUCGAGGGCGGGCGCCCCGACAUCGCUCCCCGCAGGUUGCUGCUGCACAUGUUUCCGUCCCCGGAGCCUCCCCGUAACGCACGUGGCGCGAUGUGGCCCGAGUCUCACACACACCGCGGUGUUGCUUUCCCCCGGAGAAAGCAAUAGACACACUUCCCUCCCUAACCACACCCCCCCCCCCCCAAAAAAAACCCAACAAAAAACAAAAAAAACAAUAUUCUCACACCAGAGGCAUUCAACACAAUUCACAUACACAGCACACAUUACACAUUUAGUCCAUAAUUCCUGAUGUUUACAUUUUAUAAGGCUUGUACUCUAAGUUAAACAUAAAGCCAUACAGUAAAUCCAUCUCUUUACAUAUUGUGGCUUAGCUGGAAAGCCACAAUAUGUGUCUUUCCAAGCAUAUGUAACAGGCAUAUUAUUGCAUAGUAUGCCUGUUACGCAUGCUUGUUUCCAGUAAUAUUCCUGUUUGCUGAAGGAAAGAGUUUACCUCUGAAUGCACAGUGGCAAUGCCCAAGACAGCUCCUCAUGCAGAUCAUAGACACAAGGCCCUUUAGUUAGCUAAAGCACAGUAGAGGACCCGUGCAGUAUGAGGACCAUGUAAAAAUACCCACCUAAAAGUGGACAUUACUUCUUGGGUAAAAAUAAAUUCCACAGGGGAUACUGUUAACUGUCAUCCCUGCCCAUACAUAUGUCCCCUGUGUGGCAAUGGGCUUGAUGGUACUUUCUGUACUGAGAUCCCAUCUCUGUCUGUAACUAUCUCUGCUGUCACCUUGUCUGAAUAUGGAAAACAUGCAUACAAAGGGCAGACUAUCUACUCUCCUCUUUUAAAAAAAUAAAAUAAAAAAACAACAAUGUAAUAAAAUACAGUAGAUAAGUGACCUGAGUUGGUGACCUUGUUCAUUGGCUUGUUGAGCCAAUCACACCCCGUGUACUUACGCAGACACACGAGCAGACCUCAUUACAGCAUCGCAUUUAAAUUCCUAAUGUGCCAUUUUACUUUCACUAUUCAUAUGAAAAAAAACAGGAUUACCAAAAUCGCUGCUGUGAACUCCUACUAAAAUAUUAU